UUAAAACUCCCAACUGCAUGUAACUUAUAAACAUUGAAUUAUCAAUUUUUGUGGGUCUUUCCCACCCAGAAGAUGAAGAACGCCAGGCCAGUCGAAAUAUUGUUUCAGUUUUAUUUACCUGAAAUUUGCUAUUUUAUCAAGCACCCAGCACAAGUGUUUCGCUGUGAACUUAUUUACAUACUUAUCGGUACGUAUGUGGAGUAUAAACAACAAAGGCAGAAACAACGAAAAACGAGUUUCUAUAUAUAAGGUGGCUAUGCUGUAAAAUAAUAAAGGGCGGGCCGUAUCAAGAGUUGCUGUUAUGGUAGACAAAACGGGUCGUGAGUUUCAGUUUCUCGGGGGUUAAAACGAUCGACAUACUCCGAUGACGCAUUUUAGAACCGGAAAUGCUCCCUCCGCCUGCCAUUUGGCUGAGUUCUCAAUAAGUAUGCAAAUCGGAUUCGGAUUGUUUGUGCACUUUUCGGUAAUUACUCCCAUGAAUUAAAAGCAAACUCUGGACGGGAAAACCAGCACUCGACAAGAGUGUAAACAAACUACACAGCGAUUAUGAUUUAUGAAUCGAAAUAAAGCGCUGACAAUUCAAACAGCAGCGGAAAUGGUAAAGAAAGCCGAUCAGAACUUGUACAAAGCCAAUAAAAACGAUCGCAGAUAACUCGAACGCGUCGCGCAGAUAAUGCCAGCGACUAACUAACUGUAAACAUAUACUAUUUAGGUUAUCACUAUCAUUUUCAGCUCGCAGCUGACAAGAUAAAGUUGUACCACAAAGUCAAAGACUAGAACACCGAGAAACUCAGGUAAAUUUUGGGGAGUGAAAGAAGCCCCGAAGCCACCCAUAAACAAGCGACGUCUGGAUUUCUCGAGAUCUGCAGAUCUUUAUGGACCUGCAGAUAAGCUGGAUUGUUUACCCUAACCCGAAGAUAAGCGACAUGGGGUCCCGAAGCUCUAUUUACCUUUUUAGAUGCGUUUGCAGCUGCCGCUCGCGAAGAAGAGAGUAUCUGUAGCUUUGGGUUUUCUUUAUAUCUUUGAUUUCACAACACCAUCGGAGAUUCCAUAAACACCAAAUAGAAUUUCGCUUUCGUAUAUUGCUUCACAGAACUUUUCUUUUCGUAUAGAUCAGAUGUGUAAUUUCUCUUUUAUUUUCGUUGUUUCGUUUAUUUAUUUUAUUUUUUUGAAUCACUUGUAUUUAUUUCUCGUUUUCAACAACAACAUUUCGUCAUGUUUUUUCUAUGGGGCGUACAAAAAAUGUAGUAAACGUAAUCGAAAACAAAAGCACGCGUUCUCUUUCUCGAAAGAGAGAAGGAGACGGGCGGUGGGGCAGAGAAAGAGACAGGGAUAGAGAUAGAAAGGUGGAAACAGAAACACACGCACACUACAAAUAAACAAAAACGGAACCGAACC